AAGAGGUCCCGCCUGCCCUGUGACUAUAUGUUUAACGGCCGCGGUAUUUUGACCGUGCGAAGGUAGCGCAAUCACUUGUCUUUUAAAUGAAGACCUGUAUGAAUGGCAUAACGAGGGCUUGACUGUCUCCUCUUUCAAGUCAAUGAAAUUGAUCUCCCCGUGCAGAAGCGGGGAUAAAAACGUAAGACGAGAAGACCCUAUGGAGCUUCAGACACUAAAGCAGAUCAUGAUCACUACCCAUUAAACAACAAAACGUAAAUUAAUUGAACCCUGCCCUAAUGUCUUUGGUUGGGGCGACCGCGGAGAAACAAAAAACCCCCGCACGGAUCAAAUGCACAGCAUUUACAACCCAGAGCCACAGCUCUAAUUAACAGAACUUCUGACCACUAAGAUCCGGCAAUGCCGAUUAAUGGACCGAGUUACCCUAGGGAUAACAGCGCAAUCUCCUCUUAGAGUUCCUAUCGCCGAGGGGGUUUACGACCUCGAUGUUGGAUCAGGACAUCCUAAUGGUGCAGCCGCUAUUAAGGGUUCGUUUGUUCAACG
rnacentral:rRNA from 1 species